rnacentral:tRNA from 1 species
CAGAGCGUGGCUGAGAAAACCAAGCAUCUCCCUUACACCGAGAAGACAUUCAUGCGAACUGAAUCACUCUGA